GAAACUGUUUGGGCAACCCCCAGGUAUUGCAUUGCAAUUAUGUGCAAAUGUACAUGCUCAACAAAAUUCAUUUGAUAGUUGAAACUAAUUAAAACAGAAGCUAAUUCAAAAUAAAAGGGAAAAGCCCUACUCUACUUUGCACUUAGGCCUACUGCCAACAGUGUUGGCCCAGCCCACCUCCACCGUCGUCUCCUUCCCCUGUUCAUCGAAGGUGUGCUGGAGGCAGCGGGUGCGUCCGCGCUGCGGAUGGCCACGCGGCGGCCAUCCGCCGCAUCCCCGACGCAUAUUAGGUCACCCUCGACACACCCGGAACGCUGGCCCCCUCAUUUUCUUCCUCCUCGAGCUGCUCCGCUCGAUUUGCUCGAUCCCAAAAGCCAUCACCAUCACUGCCUCGUCGGCGUCGUGGCCAAAGGCCUCCUUGCCGACCAGGAAGACGCCAAGAGAAGUGCAGUCAUCGUCUUCAUCGACUACACCACCGGAUCGGGGCGGAGGAGCUGCAGCAACGGCGCCCGCGCUCGUUUUCCCCCACUGGAAUCUGCCUUGGCCGCGACCUCGAUCUGCCAUGGACUGAGCCUCACCGCCCCCUCUACCUCCUCCGGCUGCCUCGGGUCGCUCCUCGUCACCGAUACUCCGAGGCCGAUGUUGAUGCCGCUAUGAUCGACUACGUCACCGACGACCCUUCUUCCCUCUUAGCGGAGCUUCCAGGCAAG